rnacentral:lncRNA from 1 species
UCAAAACUAGAUGCUAUAAUAGGCUUUGAAGAUUUUGGUGGUUCGAGAUGUGUGCCCAUAGGUUUAUGAAAUUCAUAGAUAGACAUGUUUGAAUUCAUAAUAGACCAGAGAUCAAGGAUUAGAUAAGAAGAAAGAAUAGCAGAGAUGAGGCAAAGGAUAAAAGGAAAAUAUUUUUUUAUUUAUUUAUUUUUUAUAAAAUGAUUAAACUAGUUCGUAGUCAACUCAGCAACCGUUUCCCCGGCAACGGCGCCAAAAAUGCUUGUUGACACUUGCUAACACCACUUGAAUACUAGGUUGUCAUCCCCAGCGUGGCACUAGAGUGUACUAUGGUAUUUAUACGCACACAGAUAAUCCGCAAGCGCACGGAUACCGUUGAAGCUUUUACCCGGUUACAGGUUUUAUCGUAUCCACAGGGAAACGGGAGAACUGAUCUACGCUCUAACUUAACCA